rnacentral:rRNA from 1 species
AUUGAACGCUGGCGGCGUGCCUAAUACAUGCAAGUCGAACGCAGUGGGGACGGGUGAGUAACACGUGGGUAACCUCCCAUCAGAGGGGAUAACACUUGGAAACAGGUGCUAAACCGAUACUGAUUGAUGUACCCGCGGUGCAUUAGCUAGUUGGUGAGGUAACGGCUCACCAAGUCCACGAUGCAUAGCCGACCUGAGAGGGUGAUCGGCCACACUGGGACUGAGACACGGCCCAGACUCCUACGGGAGGCAGCAGUGGGGAAUCUUGGACAAUGGAGGAAAGUCUGACCGAGCAACGCCGCGUGAGUGAAGAAGGCUUUCGGAUUGUAAAGCACUGUUGUCAGGGAAGCGGUAUCUGACGAAAAAGCAACGGCUAACUACGUGCCAGCCGCCGCGGUAAUUC